UACGUAGGGUGCAGGCGUUAAUCGGAAUUACUGGGCGUAAAGCGUGCGCAGGCGGUUUGCUAAGACAGGUGUGAAAUCCCCGGGCUUAACCUGGGAACUGCGCUUGUAACUAGCAGGCUAGAGUGUGGCAGAGGGGGGUGGAAUUCCACGUGUAGCAGUGAAAUGCGUAGAGAUGUGGAGGAACACCGAUGGCGAAGGCAGCCCCCUGGGCUAACACUGACGCUCAUGCACGAAAGCGUGGGGAGCAGACAGG
rnacentral:rRNA from 1 species